GUAUUCAUACCUGGCCGAUG
rnacentral:miRNA from 1 species